UUCGAGCGUCAUUUCAACCCUCAAGCCUAGCUUGGUCUUGGGCCCUGCCGGCAGCGGCUGGCCUUAAUAUCAGUGGCGGUGCAUCGUGCUCUACGCGUAGUAACUAAACCCUCGCGUGUGAGACCCGGUGGACGCUUGCCAGCAACCCCCAUCUUUCUAUGGUUGACCUCGGAUCAGGUAGGGAUACCCGCUGAACUUAA
rnacentral:misc_RNA from 1 species